rnacentral:rRNA from 2 species
GGCUAGACGACGCUGGCGGCGUGCCUAAUACAUGCAAGUCGAACGAACUCUGGUAUUGAUUGGUGCUUGCAUCAUGAUUUACAUUUGAGUGAGUGGCGAACUGGUGAGUAACACGUGGGAAACCUGCCCAGAAGCGGGGGAUAACACCUGGAAACAGAUGCUAAUACCGCAUAACAACUUGGACCGCAUGGUCCGAGCUUGAAAGAUGGCUUCGGCUAUCACUUUUGGAUGGUCCCGCGGCGUAUUAGCUAGAUGGUGGGGUAACGGCUCACCAUGGCAAUGAUACGUAGCCGACCUGAGAGGGUAAUCGGCCACAUUGGGACUGAGACACGGCCCAAACUCCUACGGGAGGCAGCAGUAGGGAAUCUUCCACAAUGGACGAAAGUCUGAUGGAGCAACGCCGCGUGAGUGAAGAAGGGUUUCGGCUCGUAAAACUCUGUUGUUAAAGAAGAACAUAUCUGAGAGUAACUGUUCAGGUAUUGACGGUAUUUAAACCAGAAAGCCACGGCUAACUACGUGCCAGCAGCCGCGGUAAUACGUAGGUGGCAAGCGUUGUCCGGGAUUUAUUGGGCGUAAAGCGAGCGCAGGCGGUUUUUUAAGUCUGAUGUGAAAGUCCUUCGGCUCAACCGAAGAAGUGCAUCGGAAACUGGGAAACUUGAGUGCAGAAGAGGACAGUGGAACUCCAUGUGUAGCGGUGAAAUGCGUAGAUAUAUGGAAGAACACCAGUGGCGAAGGCGGCUGUCUGGUCUGUAACUGACGCUGAGGCUCGAAAGUAUGGGUAGCAAACAGGAUUAGAUACCCUGGUAGUCCAUACCGUAAACGAUGAAUGCUAAGUGUUGGAGGGUUUCCGCCCUUCAGUGCUGCAGCUAACGCAUUAAGCAUUCCGCCUGGGGAGUACGGCCGCAAGGCUGAAACUCAAAGGAAUUUGACGGGGGCCCGCACAAGCGGUGGAGCAUGUGGUUUAAUUCGAAGCUACGCGAAGAACCUUACCAGGUCUUGACAUACUAUGCAAAUCUAAGAGAUUAGACGUUCCCUUCGGGGACAUGGAUACAGGUGGUGCAUGGUUGUCGUCAGCUCGUGUCGUGAGAUGUUGGGUUAAGUCCCGCAACGAGCGCAACCCUUAUUAUCAGUUGCCAGCAUUAAGUUGGGCACUCUGGUGAGACUGCCGGUGACAAACCGGAGGAAGGUGGGGAUGACGUCAAAUCAUCAUGCCCCUUAUGACCUGGGCUACACACGUGCUACAAUGGAUGGUACAACGAGUUGCGAACUCGCGAGAGUAAGCUAAUCUCUUAAAGCCAUUCUCAGUUCGGAUUGUAGGCUGCAACUCGCCUACAUGAAGUCGGAAUCGCUAGUAAUCGCGGAUCAGCAUGCCGCGGUGAAUACGUUCCCGGGCCUUGUACACACCGCCCGUCACACCAUGAGAGUUUGUAACACCCAAAGUCGGUGGGGUAACCUUUUAGGAACCAGCCGCCUAAGGUGGGACAGAUGAUUAGGGAAG